CGUGCCUAAGAAAAACAAGUCGAGCGGACCUGUAUGGAGCUUGCUCCAGACAGGUUAGCGGCGGACGGGUGAGUAACACGUAGGCAACCUGCCCGCAAGACCGGGAUAACGUAGGGAAACUUACGCUAAUACCGGAUAGGGCACUCUCUCGCAUGAGAGGGUGCGGAAAGGUGGCGCAAGCUACCACUUGCGGAUGGGCCUGCGGCGCAUUAGCUAGUUGGUGGGGUAACGGCCUACCAAGGCGACGAUGCGUAGCCGACCUGAGAGGGUGACCGGCCACACUGGGACUGAGACACGGCCCAGACUCCUACGGGAGGCAGCAG
rnacentral:sRNA from 1 species